rnacentral:misc_RNA from 1 species
CUCCUCACUCUCCAUCUAUGGGUGGAAACUAUGCCUUUUUUUAUUUUACCCGAGUCAUUCUUUUCUAUGCCUUUGUUAUGUGAAGAUUAGGAGUCCUCGUGCCUUGAAGACAAAGACCCAUAGGUCAUAUGCAAAGGCAGCCUCCACUUAUGUUAGAUUUGUGACUUCUCUGGUGUGCCUCCUUCUCUAGUCACGGCUCAUGACAUAGAGACUAGAUCAUGGCCAGAUCUUCUUCCACUGGACAUUGACGGCGCUCCUCACUCUCCAUCUAUGGGUUUUUUAUUUGGGUUUUUAGAUUUAAGGCUGCUGUGAUUCACUCAAAAAUGGGUUUUCAUUUGUUCUUUGUUUUCGUUUUCAGUUUCUUUUUGUUGAAUGUUUAGGUUUUUGAUUUGGGUCUUUGUUCUUUGUGGGUUUUUUAUUUGGGUCUUCAUUCUUUAUUAUUCUUUUUGUUGUAUGUUGUAUUUGGUUUGAGUUUACAAAUUGAGAUUUGCAGCUCUAUGAAAUGUGUUGGUGAUUUGCAGCUCUAUGAAAUGUGUUGGUGAUUUGCAGCUCUAUGAAAUGUGUUGGU